rnacentral:rRNA from 1 species
AUUGAACGCUGGCGGCAUGCUUUACACAUGCAAGUCGAACGGCAGCGCGGGCUUCGGCCUGGCGGCGAGUGGCGAACGGGUGAGUAAUGCAUCGGAACGUGCCCAGUAGUGGGGGAUAGCCCGGCGAAAGCCGGAUUAAUACCGCAUACGACAUGAGGGUGAAAGCGGUGGACCGAAAGGCCUCGCGCUAUUGGAGCGGCCGAUGUCGGAUUAGCUAGUUGGUGGGGUAAAGGCUUACCAAGGCGACGAUCCGUAGCUGGUCUGAGAGGACGACCAGCCACACUGGGACUGAGACACGGCCCAGACUCCUACGGGAGGCAGCAGUGGGGAAUUUUGGACAAUGGGGGCAACCCUGAUCCAGCCAUGCCGCGUGCGGGAAGAAGGCCUUCGGGUUGUAAACCGCUUUUGUUCGGGAAGAAAUCCUCUGGGCUAAUACCCCGGGGGGAUGACGGUACCGGAAGAAUAAGCACCGGCUAACUACGUG